ACAGCAGUAGCCGCGGGAAUACGAAGGGGGCUAGCGUUGUUCGGAAUCACUGGGCGUAAAGCGCACGUAGGCGGACUUUUAAGUCAGGGGUGAAAUCCCAAGGCUCAGCCUUGGAACUGCCUUUGAUACUGGAAGUCUUGAGUUCGGGAGAGGUGAGUGGAACUGCGAGUGUAGAGGUGAAAUUCGUAGAUAUUCGGAAGAACACCAGUGGCGAAGGCGGCUCACUGGACGACUGUUGACGCUGAGGUACGAAAGCGUGGGGAGCAAACAGGAUUAGAUACCCCUGUAGUCCCUGUCUCUUAUAC
rnacentral:rRNA from 1 species